GUGGAUACCUCACCCUCCAUGCGUUUGGCUAAUGCUCCAUAUUGGAGCUUAUAUAUUUUCACGUUUUUCAAGCCUUGGGACGCGAGAAUGUAUAUUCCACCGUCCAACCAAACAUAGGCUUAGUAGAGUAAUUUUCCAUAAUGGCAAGAAUAUUUUAAUCGGAACCAUAACUAGUGAGUAAAGAGCCACUUCUGUUGGUACUACUGAGUAUGACUCAUAUUUGUUGAUAAGUGGACAGUUUCGCUAGCAGAGCUAGCGAACCUGAACCUAAUCUUGUACAUUGGACUGUAGUAGUAUUUAAUAACAAUUUGU
rnacentral:lncRNA from 1 species